rnacentral:rRNA from 1 species
GACGAACGCUGGCGGCGUGCUUAACACAUGCAAGUCGAACGCUGAAGCUCAGCUUUUGUUGGGUGGAUGAGUGGCGAACGGGUGAGUAACACGUGAGUAACCUGCCUCCUUCUUUGGGAUAACGCCCGGAAACGGGUGCUGAUACUGGAUAUUCACUGGUCUUCGCAUGGGGGUUGGUGGAAAGGGUUUUUCUGGUGGGGGAUGGGCUCGCGGCCUAUCAGCUUGUUGGUGGGGUGAUGGCCUACCAAGGCUUUGACGGGUAGCCGGCCUGAGAGGGUGACCGGUCACAUUGGGACUGAGAUACGGCCCAGACUCCUACGGGAGGCAGCAGUGGGGAAUAUUGCACAAUGGGCGCAAGCCUGAUGCAGCGACGCCGCGUGAGGGAUGGAGGCCUUCGGGUUGUGAACCUCUUUCGCUCAUGGUCAAGCCGCAACAAUGGUUGUGGUGAGGGUAGUGGGUAAAGAAGCGCCGGCUAACUACGUG